ACAGAGGGAUAGCCCAGAGAAAUUUGGAUUAAUACCUCAUAGUAUACAGAGUUGGCAUCAACACUGUAUUAAAGUUCCAACGGUAAAAGAUGGGCAUGCGUCCCAUUAGCUAGAUGGUAAGGUAACGGCUUACCAUGGCUACGAUGGGUAGGGGUCCUGAGAGGGAGAUCCCCCACACUGGUACUGAGACACGGACCAGACUCCUACGGGAGGCAGCAGUGAGGAAUAUUGGUCAAUGGACGCAAGUCUGAACCGGUCAUGCCGCGUGCAGGAUGACGGUCCUAUGGAUUGUAAACUGCUUUUGUACGGGAAGAAACAACAUUACGUGUAAUGUCUUGACGGUACCGUAAGAAUAAGGAUCGGCUAACUCCGUGCCAGCAGCCGCGGUAAUACGGAGGAUCCAAGCGUUAUCCGGAAUCAUUGGGUUUAAAGGGUCCGUAGGCGGUUUGGUAAGUCAGUGGUGAAAGCCCAUCGCUCAACGGUGGAACGGCCAUUGAUACUGCCAGACUUGAAUUACUGGGAAGUAACUAGAAUAUGUAGUGUAGCGGUGAAAUGCUUAGAGAUUACAUGGAAUACCAAUUGCGAAGGCAGGUUACUACCGGUGGAUUGACGCUGAUGGACGAAAGCGUGGGUAGCGAACAGGAUUAGAUACCCUGGUAGUCCACGCCGUAAACGAUGGAUACUAGCUGUUGGGGGUAACUUCAGUGGCUAAGCGAAAGUGAUAAGUAUCCCACCUGGGGAGUACGGGCGCAAGCCUGAAACUCAAAGGAAUUGACGGGGGCCCGCACAAGCGGUGGAGCAUGUGGUUUAAUUCGAUGAUACGCGAGGAACCUUACCAAGGCUUAAAUGUAGUCUGACCGAUUUGGAAGCAGAUCUUUCGCAAGACAGAUUACAAGGUGCUGCAUGGUUGUCGUCAGCUCGUGCCGUGAGGUGUCAGGUUAAGUCCUAUAACGAGCGCAACCCCUGUUGUUAGUUGCCAUCGAGUCAUGUCGGGAACUCUAACGAGACUGCCAGUGCAAACUGUGAGGAAGGUGGGGAUGACGUCAAAUCAUCACGGCCCUUACGCCUUGGGCUACACACGUGCUACAAUGGCCGGUACAGAGAGCAGCCACUUCGUGAGGAGGAGCGAAUCUAUAAAGCCGGUCACAGUUCGGAUCGGAGUCUGCAACUCGACUCCGUGAAGCGGAAUCG
rnacentral:rRNA from 1 species